GGAGCGCCCGCUCUGGGCCAGGCGCCAUGCUAAGCUGCUCAGGUCGACUUCAGGGUUUAAUCCUAACCACCACCUGGCCUGAGCGGCGGAAGAUCGCCCCACUUUACAGAUGGGGAAACUGAGGCACUGACAAGAACCAGGCCUUGGACUUUAGCCUUGACCUGAGUUUCUCAAAAGAGCUGGUUAUUCAAUAUGUACGAGCACAUCACUAAACUCAUCCCCAGGAGUUCAACAGAAAAUUCUGGGCUUUUCGAGAACUGGGAUGACAGAGAGCUUAAAAGCACAGAUUUUGGACCAGACCCAGGUUCAAGUCUCAACUCUGCCACUUUGCAGAUAAUGUAAGAAGCCUCAGUAUGCCAACCUGCAGAGUGGGCUAAAGAUAUCACAGCCCCCAGAAGACGCAUGUAAGGAUGAAAUGAGGUGAUGCCCGCUCAGCACAUGUGAAAUCUCUUUCUCAUUCAUACCCUACAUGCUCUUAUCAGAGAGGAGGCAACUUAGACAAGUAAAGGUUCUGCAAGCACAGAUGCAGCUUCCCACCUGAAGCCACUGCCGACUUCAAGGGCCUGGCUCAGCGGCUGAGGUUCUCAGGAGGAUGUGGCCAGCACAAUGGUUCCAUUAUUGAGCGUUUGAAGCACUCUUUAUUUUUAACUACCCCUCUGGGCUUUUGCUAGGCUGUAACCCCUGCCAGGAAGGCUCAGCCCCUGUCCCUGGCUACCUCGCCUUGUUCUUCAAAGUCCAGAGUAAACGCCACCUUCUCCACAACAUGCUUCCUGACACGCCCUGAUGGAGGCACGUGCUAAGUCCGUUCUGAGUGUGUCUGUCCCCACCCUGAGGGCAGUGACCAAGGCCUGGCCCAUGCCCAGCACGGAGCAGGCACUGCCCAGUUGGCCAGGCAGCACACACUGACUUGGGACCUACAGACAAGAGUUCAAGUUCCAGCUCUUCCCUUCAGUGACUAUGUGAACCUGCCUUCUCUGGGCCUCAGUUUACUCAUCAGUAAAACGAGGGUAACAACCCUGGCAAGUUCCAGGAUUGUGCAGUUGGGAGUUGCUGGUCUGGCCUGGUAGAUAAGUGACUCUUUGUGCAAAUUAUUUUGCUUAAAACAUUCUUUGUUGGUAAAGCAGCAACUCAUUGCUUAAUUCCUGCAAAUCAUCGUUAAUGGACAGCAAGCAUUUAUUGACUACCAACUGUAUAUAUGGCCCCAGGCCAGUCUUAGAACACCAACAGGAACCACUUCCCAACCCAAAAGCACCCAGCAGAUGAUAGAUGCUAUUGACGUCAACAUUGCUGAGAUGGGAAGAGAUGGUGACAGCAGCACCUGAGCAGGUGGCGCCUGAGUGGUGACCUUCAAACGGCAUUAACCACUGAGCACAGCCCCACACAUUCAAACCCUCACAGCCGGACCUUCUGGGCUGUGUGGCCGGUUCACAGAUGGGGAACCUCAGGCUCAAGUGUGUCUCUACCCAGCCCAGAAUCUGGAGACAAAACACAGACGUCAAAGGCAGAAAAGACCUGCCCAUGUGAAAAUGGGGGAGACGCCUGGCCCCACUGGGCUCGCAUGACGGCCAAGUACGCUCAACACCUCACUCCCCUCAGGCUGCAGAAGAGGCCCAGAGAAGGACAAGCAUUCUCCCAAGGUCACACAGAGAGUUGCUGGCAGGCAGAGCCACCAUCCCACCCCAGCCCAGGCCUCCUUCCGCCACAUCCCAGAAUGUUUGUGAGAAAAGAUGAAAGGAGGCUGGGCCCUUGAUCUGCCUGGCCUGAUGGGAGGGCAGAGGGCAGCCGGAAAUCUGCAGCUAGAGCUGUGACCCCACAGUCCACAGGGGGUGAGAAACCUGCCGCACAGAGAGGAGACGGUCACGACAGGAGGGCUGAAAGAAUCAUUGUAAAAAUAAUCACCAUGGCUCACAGUCCUGGUGCAAGGAGUUUCCUGAGCAGGGAAUCGCUUCCAGGGACUCUGGAUGUAGCAUCUAGUUCAUUCUUCACAACGCAACAAGGUAGGAGCUAGCUAUUGUUAUCCCACCAUACAGAUGAGGAAACUGAGGCUCAGUGAGGUGACAUGACGUGGUGAGGAAGGGCGGGACCUUGAAUUCAAACCCAAACAAAAUUCAAGCCUUCCUGGCUGGGUGCGGUGGCUCACGCCUGUAAUCCCAGCACUUUGGGAGGCCGAGGCAGGUGGAUCAUCUGAGAUCAGGAGAUCGAGACCAGCCUGGCCAACAUAGUGAAACCCCAU
rnacentral:lncRNA from 10 species